rnacentral:misc_RNA from 1 species
AACGCACGAGACCUGCGGACCUGCGGAAGGAUCAUUAACAGAGAGAUAAUCGCGGGGAGGCCAUUGUCAUUGGCGGUGGCCUCCGUGUGGUUUGUAUGGCAUGUGCAAAACAUUGUUGAUGCUUAGUGUGCGUGUGAUGUUUUUGGAUUUGAUAAUAAAAAUAUAAUGUAUUACAACUUUUAACAACGGAUCUCU